GACCAGCUGGAAAUCCUGGAAGCUGAGUCAGGGAACUGUGCCUAGAGACUGGGAACAGACAAACACAAAACAAGUCAGCCCAUCCAGCAGUCCCUGUGGCACAGCCAGGAUAGUGAAUUGGAAUAGGAUGCAAUCUCUGAUGCCAAAAAUGACACUUUUACCCUGCUGAAUGAGGCUGGUCUCAGUUUUCAUGAAGCUCUUCUGGAAUUUUUGGACAUAGACAACAGAGAUGGAGCAGCAGUGAGCUGUGGGUCUUGGAAAAAGGUUUUGUUUUUCAGAUGCUUCUAUCAAAGGCAAGAAUCUCUGAAUAAUGUGAAAUGGGGGAAUUUUAAGAAAUGGAAACAUAUUGGUUAUGAAGAAUGAAGCCCAGGGACAAGUGACUAUGUGGUCUUUGAGAAACAGUAGCAGCAGGAAAGAAGAAAAAGUCUGGCAGCUAAUUGGAUAAGAGGGCAAGACUAUAAUCAUCCUUAUUGUUGCUGCUUUGAAGUUGAAAGUGCUUACAUUCUGAAGAAUAUGGAUUCUAUUUUUAUUAUAAUGAUUAUUGCUAUUCCUUCUAUAUUUGUUUUUUGUAUUUUAUUGCGUUGUUUUUUAUGCCCUAAGACUCAAGGUAACACUCGUCAAGAGUGCAAUUCACCAGGAAUUUAUGGUUUCCAGGAAGGAGGUGUUUCCUGGAGAAGAGGUGAUGUUUUUGGAGGAGAUGGUUCCUGGGGAGGAGGUGAUGCUUGUAAAGGAGGUGAUACUUUUGCAGUAGUUGAUUCCUAUGGAGGAGGUGAUUCCUUUGGAGGAGACAAUGCUUGUGGAAGAGGUGAUUCCUUUGGAGGAGGUGAUGUUUGUGGAGGAGUUGAUUCUUGGGGAGGAGGUGAUGCUUGUGGAGGAGGCGAUUCUUGUGGAGGAGGUGAUACUUGGGGAGGAGGUGAUUCCUGGGGAGGAGGUGAUGCUUGUGGAGGAGGUGAUUAGUGAGCAAAAGAGACCCAGAAAGAAGAUAAUUAUUGUGGUUGACUGACUUGAACAAAGUGUUAACCUCUGUCCACCAGUGGCACUCCUUAUUACCUGAUACACUUAGGUCCUUGUUUUCCUCUGGAGUAAGUAUCCAGUACUAAGUCAAAAGAGUCCAUUAGAUCAGGAGAAAUUAAUUUUUACAAAAAGAUGGGAUGUUUUGCCCAAGUCAGAAGAAAAGAGAAGCUCCUAAACUAUGGCAGUUACAAGUAAACAAAUCAUGGAUCAAAAAGUAUUGGAGGAAACUUUGAAUGAGACCAAGAUGUCAAUAAUUAAUAUAUUCUUUAAGCAAAGCAUAGAUAGAAAGCUUUGUGAAAGAACAACAAAUAAAAAAGUUCACACAUCAGGAACACAAUGAUUUAUUUGCUUCAGUUUUUCUGAGGUGAUAUUGGGGAGAUAUGGAAUUUACUUUUAUAUUGACUUUCUGCUUCUCUAUCCAACAUUGCGUUAAGUGCUAAAUCUACAAAUGUCUUUUCCAAAAUAUUUUCUGAAGGAGAGGUCAAAGGGCCUCCAUCAGAUUGUGAUAAACACAUGAUAUUCUAGUUGGCAAAGUAGGUGUAAAGAGAGCCCCAGAAUCACAAACUAUCUACCCAAGAUUUUUGAAGGACUUUGAAGAUUUUUUUCCGUCUGAAAAAUAUAAUGGCAAAUGACAAUCAUGCUAGUUUCAUAAAGAAAAAAAAAUAGUUUCUGAAUGAAUCCUAGUAACUACAAACUUCAUGUAGGUUCAACUAGCAAGAUUGAUCACAGGGAGAGCUAUAUGAGAUGCCUUACUUCUUUCAAAACACAGUUCAAGUGUCACCUCCUCCAUGAAGCCUUUCUGAUUUUUCCAACUGAAUGAGAUCUGUUCCUGCUCAAAUUGUAUUAGAACAAUUUGGAGAGACUCUCUUUUCCCCUUAUUUUAUGCAUGCUUGUAUUAUGUGCAAUUCUACCUUGUGUUAUACUUAUUUGAAUCUCUGUAUCACAGUGUUAAACAAUGAAUUUUUUAACAUAAUGAAGCACAUUUCAUCACAUUGAUCUUACAACUAUUAAUAUUUUAGUGAGAACAAAAAUGUUUAGUACCACUAAUAAAUAUAAUAAAGUCAAAUAAUUUUUCAAUAUUUUUCAUUCCAGGUUUGCAUCUGACUCUUUAAAUAUUGUAUUUCUGUAUAUGUUUAUAAUGUUCAUUGGGUAUUAGUAAUACAUGUACAUAUAUAAUGUAGUACACAUACAGCUUAAAGUUUUAAUGCCUAAAAUUACUCUUGAACUUUUGGGAUGCCUUCUAUAACAUAUGUAAUGAAAUCAUAACUAAAUAUAAAUACAUUGGGCAAGCAGGUUUGACAAUUUUUUUUAACUGAAAGGCCUACACAAUAAGCAAAGUUCAGAGACCACAAGGUGGCUAACAAGGAAAAUAAAUGUCCAGAAGUGGAUUCAUAAAAGAAGAGAAGUUUUCUAGCAUAUCUUUCAUACCUCCACAUUCAGGCAAAAGUUGUCAACAAACCUUACAUAACAAUUUAAUUUUGUUGUGACUAUGAUCAUCAUAUUCACUUGUUUAAUGGGGGUUAAAGCAUCCACCAGGAAUUCCCUGGGUCUUAGCCAGCAGAAAGCCAGCUUUACAACCAUGACACUUGCCUCUAGAGUGAAGACCAUUAAAGAAAUUUCUUUGUUUAGCCCUCUCUUUUGCCCUUAUCACAGUCCUUGCCUUCACCACAGCUUGUAUUAUAUGUACAUCAUGCUCCACACUUAAUAGGAGAUUGUAAGCUCUUUGAGGAGAAGAAGACUAUCAUGGUCCAUCUUUGAGACCACCAUUAUAUCUAAUAGAUGCUUAAUUUUAUUUUAAUUGUUAAGUUUAAACACUUAGCAUUUAAGUAAGAAGAACUGAAUUAGGUCAAGAGAUUGUUCAGGUCUAUCUGGGAAAACACAUCAAUAGGCCUGAAAUUUGUUGGAGGAAGGAGAGGAGCAAUCAUAGGGAUUUUUUUUUUUAUUUUACCUGUCACACUAAUAGAAGGACCUGCACUUGGAGAAGAGAGACUAGAAGAGGACAUACUGUGUCUGUUUUUCUUUCUUCCUCCUGUCAAGUGAUUUCUUUCCCAUUCUGGUUAGAAAAGGAAAGGCUAGAAAGAGAAAUAAUGAGAUUCCUGAGAUACUAUUAUUUGGUCAUGAAAAAUAUGAGAUUAUGAGAAGAGAUUGGUACAUCUAUCAACUCAGAAGAUAGGCUUGAGUUAUUUCAUAUUCAUGUUUAUGCCUCAGUGCCUUGUAGUAGCUUUGUAAGGAAUCUGAUCCUAAGAUGAGAUUUCAAGUGGAAUUGAGAAAAGAACUUUCUCACCAUGUGUGGGAAUAACACACAUGAUUGGGGUAAAUAGCAAUGAUUCUGUGAUAUAUUCAAUAUCUUUAAGUAUAAUAUGUAAUAAAAUUUAAAUUUAUUAAAUUACUUUUUCAAAUAAAA